rnacentral:rRNA from 1 species
UAUUAACUGGAGGAAGGUGGGGAUGACGUCAAAUCAUCAUGCCCCUUAUGACCUGGGCUACACACGUGCUACAAUGGACGAUACAAAGAGUCGCAAACUCGCGAGGGUAAGCUAAUCUCAUAAAAUCGUUCUCAGUUCGGAUUGUAGGCUGCAACUCGCCUGCAUGAAGCCGGAAUCGCUAGUAAUCGCGGAUCAGCAUGCCGCGGUGAAUACGUUCCCGGGCCUUGUACACACCGCCCGUCACACCACGAGAGUUUGUAACACCCGAAGUCGGUGGGGUAACCGUAAGGAGCCAGCCGCCUAAGGUGGGAUAGAUGAUUGGGGUGAAGUCGAAGCAGU